GACAGAGGGUGCAAACGUUGUUCGGAAUUACUGGCGUAAAGCGCGUGUAGGCUGCCCCGAAAGUCAGGUGUGAAAGCCCUGGGCUCAACCCAGGAAGUGCACUUGAAACUUCGGGGCUCGAGUUCUGGAGAGGAUGGCGGAAUUCUCGGUGUAGAGGUGAAAUUCGUAGAUAUCGAGAGGAACACCGGUGGCGAAGGCGGCUAUCUGGGACAGUCGACUGACGCUGAGACGCGAAAGCGUGGGGAGCAAACAGGG
rnacentral:rRNA from 1 species